rnacentral:rRNA from 1 species
UACGGAGGCUCCAAGCGUUAUCCGGAAUCACUGGGCGUAAAGCGUCUGUAGGUGGUUUAAUAAGUCAACUGUUAAAUCUUGAGGCUCAACCUCAAAAUCGCAGUCGAAACUAUUAGGCUAGAGUAUAGUAGGGGUAAAGGGAAUUUCCAGUGGAGCGGUGAAAUGCGUAGAGAUUGGAAAGAACACCGAUGGCGAAGGCAGCCCCCUGGGUCGACACUGACGCUCAGGCACGAAAGCGUGGGGAGCAAACAGG